rnacentral:tRNA from 1 species
GCGGUGUCAGCGUUGAAGCGCCGUCGCUUCCCAAGCUGAGAGCGCGAGUUCGAUUCUCGUCACCCGCUCCA